CUCGUUGUCCGCCCGCGGACGCAGACACGAGCCGGCCAUUCAACCACAUGCGUAAAACGUCUGUCCCAAGCCUGGCCCCAACUACUACUAGACACAUUUUGAAGUGUAAAUAUUAAUCAAUAGCAACCAAAUAAUAAUCUCAAAUGAUAAAUGCCACAUGCGUGGCAUGAAGCACUCCGCCGGAACGACUUAUAUAUUGUUUGAUCUUUAGCACGAUUUUUGCAGCACAAAAAGUCACCACGUCAUCCCACAUGCUCGUUCGGACAGAAACCAGCCGCUUGAACGCCCACCCUCCUCCUCUGUCUCGCCUUUUCUACUCCACUCCUUCCACCUCACCCACUCGAGCUAAUCCCCCGACCGCCUGUAAUCCGGCUAGGACCAGCGGAUCCCGGUGAGGGCUUCGCUAGAUGCACGGUGGGGAGGAGCCCAGACGGCGAUAGAUGGUUGGGGAGGCGGGCGGUGGUGGGCGGGGGCGACCAGAAAUUGGAUCCAACAGACGGAGAUAGAAGGUUCAGUUUUCCCCGCCAUCAGGCGCUCCGCGGUGCGAGGUCGUGAGCUCUGCCCUGGGAACAGCGGCGGUGGGCGCGACUGGGGUUCCUGGCGCGGUUUGGCCUCCGCGGUGGACGCCGACGCGGGACGGAGCUGGUUGUCCCUGAUGGCAAGCACCACAUGGCGGCGAACUGCUCCGGUUCCCUGGCACGGAGGAGACACCGACGGGGGACGAAGCUGGUCGACUCCGAUGGAAGCACCAUACGACGGAGAACUUCCGCGGUUUCGGGCGAGAUGGAGCGGCAGACAUGACCAUUGGCGACCUCCACCUUCUCCCACACCCACUCUUGCUCAAGCUCCAGCUCAUCCCAAGCCCCUCCGCUUCCACUGCCGCCGGGAGGCUCCCGUUGAGACGCAGCCCAAGUCGGCGUCGGUGGAUCCCUUUCCCGUUGCGUCCAACAAGUCAGCUCUACUGCCUCUGCUCUAGUGGCAGCCGCCAUGGCCGAACGAUGUCACAGCAAAAGGCCUAUACGAGGGGUGUACAGGCUGGGAGUUUCUCAUACCGAACGAACUCAUUCGGUCGAUGCCGGCUAGACCAAACGCGUGGCAGUUAUCGAUGUCCCUAAUAAUUUGAUGAGCAAAUAAAGUAUAUACAUAUGCAAUGUUCACAACCAAAAAUGGUGGAUGUUAAUAAGCUUUUACAUGCGACCGAUCACAAAAAUUCCAGUCCGUAAGUUCGUCUAAAAUACUGUCAAUUUUCCCCUUCCACACCGAUUGUUCGUCCCUUCUUGAUACGUCUCUGUCGUAUCUAUAAUUUUUUUUAUUAUUUCAUGCCAAUAUUAUUCAACUUUCA